AUUGAACGCUGGCGGCAGGCCUAACACAUGCAAGUCGAGCGAGCGGCGGACGGGUGAGUAAUGUCUGGGAAACUGCCUGAUGGAGGGGGAUAACUACUGGAAACGGUAGCUAAUACCGCAUACCAUCAGAUGUGCCCAGAUGGGAUUGGCUAGUAGGUGGGGGAACGGCUCACCUAGGCGACGAUCCCUAGCUGGUCUGAGAGGAUGAACAGCAACACGGGGAUGGAGGUACGGCCCAGACUACUACGGGAGGCAGCAGUGGGGAUUAUUGUACAAUGGGCGCAAGCCUGAUGAAGCCAUGCCGCGUGUGUGAAGAAGGCCUUCGGGUUGUAAAGCAAUUUCAGCGGGGAGGCGUUACCCGCAGAAGAAGCACCGGCUAACUCCGUGCCAGCAGCCGCGGUAAUUC
rnacentral:rRNA from 1 species